UUGACGACGUUAAUGAUAAUGAUUAUCUUUUAUUUGCGAUGUCGCGAGACAUCGCACUCCAUCGGCGAGAAGUCAGGUUCCCGCUAAUGGUUUCUCCUCAUCAAGCUAGUCACGGUCCUUGCCGCUCCUCUUGGAGCGGCUUUCUUUU
rnacentral:sRNA from 1 species